UACGUAGGGGGCGAGCGUUGUCCGGAUUUAUUGGGCGUAAAGAGCUCGUAGGCGGUUCGAUAAGUCGGACGUGAAAUCUCCACGCUCAACGUGGAGGGGCCGUUCGAUACUGUCGUGACUCGAGUCCGGUAGGGGAGUGUGGAAUUCCCGGUGUAGCGGUGAAAUGCGCAGAGAUCGGGAGGAACACCCGUAGCGAAGGCGGCACUCUGGGCCGGUACUGACGCUGAGACGCGAAAGCGUGGGGAGCGAACAGG
rnacentral:rRNA from 1 species